rnacentral:rRNA from 1 species
ACAGAGGGUGCGAGCGUUGUCCGGAAUCACUGGGCGUAAAGGGCGCGUAGGCGGCCUGGUAAGGUUGCGGUGAAAGCCCGGGGCUCAACCCCGAGUCGGCCGUGCGAACUGCUGGGCUCGAGCACUGUAGAGGCAGGCGGAAUUCCGGGUGUAGCGGUGGAAUGCGUAGAGAUCCGGAGGAAGACCGGUGGCGAAGGCGGUCUGCUGGGCAGUUUCUGACACUGAUGCGCGACAGCGUGGGGAGCAAACAGGA